rnacentral:rRNA from 1 species
UCCGGUUGAUCCCGCCGGACCCCACUGCUAUCGGGAUAGGACUAAGACAUGCUAGUUGAGCGCUUCCAGCCAACACGGGAGCGCAGCGCACAGCUCAGUAACACGUGGCUAAUCUGCCCUUGGGACCGGAACACCCCCGGGAAACUGGGGCUAAUUCUCGUUAGGUGAAGAACUCUGGAAUGAGUCUUUGCUUAAAAGACGUUUACGUUAUGCUCGUAGGCGUCGCCCAAGGAUGAGGCCGCGACCGAUCAGGUUGUUGGUGAGGUAAUGGCUCACCAAGCCUUUUACCGGUGCGGGCCGUGAGAGCGGGAGCCCGGAGAUGGGCACUGAGACAAGGGCCCAGGCCCUACGGGGCGCAGCAGUCGCGAAAACUUUGCAAUACACGAAAGUGUGACAGGGCUAUCCCGAGUGCCAUCCGCUGAGGAAGGCUUUUACCCAGUCUAGAACGCUGGGGGAAUAAGGAGAGGGCAAGUCUGGUGUCAGCCGCCGCGGUAAUACCAGCUCUCCGAGUGGUGUGGAUGUUUAUUGGGCCUAAAGCAUCCGUAGCUGGCUAAGUUAGUCCCUUGUUAAAUCCACCGAAUUAAUCGUUGGAUUGCGGGGGAUACUGCUUGGCUAGGGGACGAGAGAGGCAGACGGUAUUUCCGGGGUAGGGGUGAAAUCCUAUAAUCCCGGGAAGACCACCAGUGGCGAAGGCUGUCUGCUAGAACGCGCCCGACGGUGAGGGAUGAAAGCUGGGGGAGCGAACCGGAUUAGAUACCCGGGUAGUCCCAGCUGUAAACGAUGCAGGCUAGUGUUUGACGGCACGUGCCGUUCUAGUGCCGCAGGGAAGCUGUUAAGCCUGCCGCCUGGGGAGUACGAUCGCAGAUUGAAACUUAAAGGAAU